rnacentral:misc_RNA from 1 species
AACGCACAUUGCGCCCCCUGGUACUCCGGGGGGCAUGCCUGUUCGAGCGUCAUUUCGACCCUCAAGCUCUGCUUGGUGUUGGGCCCUGCCCGCUCGCGGCCGGCCCUAAAGACGGUGGCGGCGCCGUCUGGCUCUAAGCGUAGUACAUCUCUCGCUCUAGCGUCCGGCGGUGGCCUGCCAGAACCCCCAACUCUGUGGUUGACCUCGGAUCAGGUAGGGAUACCCGCUGAACUUAA